GACGAACGCUGGCGGCGUGCUUAACACAUGCAAGUCGAACGGAAAGGCCCUGCUUUUGUGGGGUGCUCGAGUGGCGAACGGGUGAGUAACACGUGAGUAACCUGCCCUUGACUUUGGGAUAACUUCAGGAAACUGGGGCUAAUACCGGAUAGGAGCUCCUGCUGCAUGGUGGGGGUUGGAAAGUUUCGGCGGUUGGGGAUGGACUCGCGGCUCAUCAGCUUGUUGGUGGGGUAGUGGCUUACCAAGGCUUUGACGGGUAGCCGGCCUGAGAGGGUGACCGGCCACAUUGGGACUGAGAUACGGCCCAGACUCCUACGGGAGGCAGCAGUGGGGAAUAUUGCACAAUGGGCGGAAGCCUGAUGCAGCAACGCCGCGUGCGGGAUGACGGCCUUCGGGUUGUAAGCCGCUUUCGCCUGUGACGAAGCGUGAGUGACGGUAAUGGGUAAAGAAGCACCGGCUAACUACGUG
rnacentral:rRNA from 1 species